rnacentral:tRNA from 1 species
GAACUAUAUUUUGAAACUUUGAAAGUUUCAUUGGAGAUUUUUCUCGUGGUUUU